UCCUUGAAAGGAAAGGUAAAA
rnacentral:piRNA from 1 species